rnacentral:rRNA from 1 species
CAUGCAAGUCGAACGGAAAGGCCCCUCGGGGUGCUCGAGUGGCGAACGGGUGAGUAACACGUGGGUGAUCUGCCCUGCACUUUGGGAUAAGCCUGGGAAACUGGGUCUAAUACCGAAUAGGACUCCGGACUGCAUGGUCUGGGGUGGAAAGCUUUUGCGGUGUGGGAUGGGCCCGCGGCCUAUCAGCUUGUUGGUGGGGCGAUGGCCUACCAAGGCGACGACGGGUAGCCGGCCUGAGAGGGUGACCGGCCACACUGGGACUGAGAUACGGCCCAGACUCCUACGGGAGGCAGCAGUGGGGAAUAUUGCACAAUGGGCGCAAGCCUGAUGCAGCGACGCCGCGUGGGGGAUGACGGCCUUCGGGUUGUAAACCUCUUUCAGCACAGACGAAGCGCAAGUGACGGUAUGUGCAGAAGAAGCACCGGCCAACUACGUGCCAGCAGCCGCGGUAAUACGUAGGGUGCGAGCGUUGUCCGGAAUUACUGGGCGUAAAGAGCUCGUAGGUGGUUUGUCGCGUUGUUCGUGAAAACU